CAUCUCCCCACAACUCUCUCCACCCCCUUCUCACUGCACUUAAACUCCAUACCAGCCAUUAUCACAUUUCCUCUUUUGGAGUUGACUCAUCCCCAUCCCUGAAUACCAGAAGGAAAACUAAAAAUGGAAGCAACCUUGAUGGGCACACUUAGUUGCAGCCAGGCAGCCGGAUACGCUGCCAACUUGGGUUAAAAGCUGUUGCCUGGAUCUUGCCUCUUAGCUUUCAUUUUCUUCUUCUUUCUCUUUAGCCUAAACAUCUGUCCCUCAGCCUGGAGGAAGAUUCCAAACCUUGCAGUGCUGAAAUCCCAACAGCUGGAUAAGGAGUGCCAACGGGCAGGAACUUAUCGCUGUAAUGAGCAAUCUGCCCGACUGGAAUCUAGCAGAUAAGGGAAACCAAAGGAAUGCUGCCUCUUCUAUCCUUCAGCCCCAGGCAGGACCUGUAUGGGAGGAGCAGAUCUUAUGGAGGCAGAAUAGACUCCCUCUGGACCAGUGAUGAACAUGUGAUGAAUCAGGUGCUGACAUCCAAACUGAGAUCCUAUCCCUCCUAAUUUAUUUGCCUUGUUUUUUUUGGGGGGGGAGUAUGCCAAAUCAUU